rnacentral:lncRNA from 1 species
UCGACAAGCUUUGUUGGGUUCUUGCAUCCAUCUCUUCAUUAAUGUGAAGAAGAUAAAAACAGAUCUGAUGGCCCCCACCACAGGAGGCAUAAACAACAACCGUAGAAUAUAUUUAAGAAAUCUCAAAUCAAGAAUCGGUUGCUAUUACAUAAGGGCAAAGAAAGAAAGGGGAAAAGGCCAAAUUGCUUAUCAAGAUGAUGACUUGUCCUGUGAGCACUAAUGGGCUCUUCCCAAAAAGUCAAAUUCUCUACUGCUAGAUAUUAGGCCAGAAACGACCCUCCUCCAUUCCUCCUCCAACCCUCUUGAUGUUUCAGAAGAGAUCAUAAACAAACAGACAGACAAACAAAAAUCAUACCAAGAGCUUUGACUUCCUGACAGGAAGGUGAACUUCCUCAUUGAAUUGUUUUCAACAAGCAAAAUAAGGUGGUUUCCAGACAAGCUGUAUCAUAAUACUUCUAAGAGCAAAAACAAUACAAUCAGGCAGUAUGUUUUGUCUUCUUUCGUUUGUUUAAGGAAUCUCCAGCACCUUGCUCUUCUAAGAUUGCAGACAAAAGUCGAAUUCGGAUCAUUCACAAACCCUAUAUGCAGGAAGUUGAAAUUUACAUUAACAAUACAAGUAACAAACAAGUUAGCACAGGAAUCAGAACCAGAACCAACCCAAUGAUGCUUCACCAAAUUAUCCAGCAAGAGCAACAAACAGUAGCCCUGCUGGUGAUUGAGGGUUUUCAAUUUCUUUCCCCUCCAGGACUUCAAUUAUUAAUUUGGAGCAAAUUAAAAGAAAUAUACCAUAGCUGUGGAAGCGGUUGAUUGGAAGGUCGAGGGGAGCAGCGGUAGAAGUGACGUGCUUAUCCUUGACAGGGGAUUCAGGGAGCACGAGCUCGUCUGGUUUGGAACCAAACGACACUCCCAUUUUCAUGGCGGACCCCUUGUGAAGCGAUGAUGAUACACAUGACCCCAUUUUUAAUGUGUGCUCUUUUCCUUUGGGGUAAAGUUUCUGGAAAGUACUGAGCCAGAGAAAGAAAGGGUUUGAGCUCUGAUCGUCGGCGAUGAAAAGCCUGCUUUCUUUGAAUGUUUUUUCUGGAGCAGGUGGAUAGUGAAGAAGAAGAAGAAGAAGAAGAAGAAGAAGAAGAAGAAGAAGAAGAAGAAGAAGAAGAAGAAGAAGAAGAAGAAGAAGAAGAAGAAGAAGAAGAAGAAGAAGAAGAAGAAGAAGAAGAAGAAGAAGAAGAAGAAGAAGAAGAAGAAGAAGAAGAAGAAGAAGAAGAAGAAGAAGAAGAAGAAGAAGAAGAAGAAGAAGAAGAAGAAGAAGAAGAAGAAGAAGAAGAAGAAGAAGAAGAAGAAGAAGAAGAAGAAGAAGAAGAAGAAGAAGAAGAAGAAGAAGAAGAAGAAGAAGAAGAAGAAGAAGAAGAAGAAGAAGAAGAAGAAGAAGAAGAAGAAGAAGAAGAAGAAGAAGAAGAAGAAGAAGAAGAAGAAGAAGAAGAAGAAGAAGAAGAAGAAGAAGAAGAAGAAGAAGAAGAAGAAGAAGAAGAAGAAGAAGAAGAAGAAGAAGAAGAGGAGAAGGGAGGAGAAAAGUGUGACCAGAGUUGAGAGAUGCAGAGAAUUCAGAAGAAACGUUUUCAAAGGAGUUGAUAUUGUUGAGCUAUUAAAGCGGAAUCAAAUUAAUUUAUUUCAAAAUAAAUUGGACGUGGAAUUUUAAGAGACUAUUUUUAUAAUUUAUUUUGGUCACUCGAGUUUGGAUCUAGUUACACAUUGGUCACUCAAAUUUUU